rnacentral:rRNA from 1 species
UACAGAGGAUGCAAGCGUUAUCCGGAAUGAUUGGGCGUAAAGAGCGUGUAGGCGGCCCGGUAAGUCCGCUGUGAAAGUCGGGGGCUCAACCCUCGAAUGCCGGUGGAUACUGUCGGGCUAGAGUGCGGAAGAGGCGAGUGGAAUUCCUGGUGUAGCGGUGAAAUGCGCAGAUAUCAGGAGGAACACCGAUUGCGAAGGCAGCUCGCUGGGACGUAACUGACGCUGAGACGCGAAAGCGUGGGGAGCAAACAGG